AACAAAUGGCUGACGCCUUAAUCGAAAUCAAACUCGUUGGAAAAAUAGUGUUAAAUAAAAGAAAGUUAUACAAGACAAACUGAAAAAUCUUUACCCACAAGUUAUGUUAAAUAAGAAAAAUAAAUUAUCAUCCAACUCACUGCGAAAAAGAAAGGAUUGGAAUUCAAUGUGGUAUCAGGAUAAUGGAUUGUUUCUUGGUUUCGGAGCACGAACUAGUUUUCUGGAUUGGUUACAGGAUUCCUCGUAGUUUCCGGUCUCUCUUACGGAUUCUUCUGAUGGAAAAUUGGACUGCUGUUCUUCGGAUUUCGGAUGAUCUCGAAGACGUUUCAGGAGUUCUCGGAAUAAGUUACAUACAUUGGAGUACACGCCAAAUUUCAUCAAUGAGCAAAGUUAGAAAAAUUCAAUUUUAAAUCAAGGAUUUCCUCCUCAAAAUAACGUUAAAACAUCAAAGGAUGGAUGAAAAAUGUGCUUUAGGAGCUGAACUAUAUUAAUUGAUACUUUUGGAAGCAAACUAAACGGUUUUAGAUAAGAUUUCCACCAACAAAAAAUCUCUCUGUCAAAAUUUCAAGGUUAUGUUCUCUCGGUGAACUAAACGAUGGUUAUUUUUAUCACAGUAUUUCUAAAAUUGUGUCGGU